AGGCCACACUAUGUUUGUUGCGGCGGAGCUGCUUCUCACCGCUUGUUGCGUAACGUUUAACGUCGUGAGCACAGCGCAGAGGUAUGAGGAAAGAGGAUAACAAGUGACUACAACCGGCAGCCGGCGAAAACAGUGAUGCAUCACGCCAUUUACAACAGGAAUCUACAACAGGAAGAAACAGGAAUCUGGAUUUCAACAGUGCUGAUGCAGUGCACAUGUCAUUUUUUUCAUAAUGCAAACGAUGAUGCUGAAGAUGGUAAACAGUCGUCACCCCAAGCUUCAGAAAAGAGUUAAACACUAUCAACAUUAAAAAGCGUGCUUGUGUGAUGUGCACAGGCGCGUACGAAGCA